rnacentral:rRNA from 1 species
GAUGAACGCUAGCGGGAGGCUUAACACAUGCAAGUCGAGGGGUAGGGAAGCAAUUCCUGAGACCGGCGGACGGGUGCGUAACGCGUAUGCAACCUGCCUUAUACAGGGGGAUAGCCCAUGGAAACGUGGAUUAACACCCCAUAGGAUUACGGGAUCGCAUGAUUUUGUGAUUAAGCAUGAGGUGGUAUAAGAUGGGCAUGCGUCUGAUUAGGUAGUUGGUAGGGUAAUGGCAUACCAAGCCGACGAUCAGUAGGGGCUCUGAGAGGAUUACCCCCCACACUGGUAGUGAGACACGGACCAGACUCCUACGGGAGGCAGCAGUGAGGAAGAUUGGUCAAUGGCCGGAAGGCUGAACCAGCCAUCCCGCGUGCAGGAUGACGGCCCUAUGGGUUGUAAACUGCUUUUGUACCUGAAGAGUAGGCCCAACGAGUUGGGAUUUGCCGGUAAGGUAUGAAUAAGCAUCGGCUAACUCCGUGCCAGCCGCCGCGGUAAGAC